rnacentral:lncRNA from 1 species
ACAUGUAAGUUGGAUUCCCAAAAUAUUACCCAUAGUUUGUAUGAGAUUCAGAGUACAAUAGAAGGAAUGCAACACAGUAUGUAUUCGGUUGUGGUGUCUAUGAUUUUACAGUCGCAGAAGCUUAUUCACCUUGUGAGGGCCGGUCAGGUGGGCACCAUCACUCUCCUUACGCUUUAUAGAGAGCGAUAGUCCAUGUGGUCAGAUCUCAUUCAGAUAACUAGCCAAGUGGGCAAUCGCUCCACCUUAUCAAAAUUCUUCAUCUAUAGUAAUAUCAUGAGUAGGCCUUGAAUUUUUCUUUUAAUUUUAACAUUUAAAAGGUAGAGGUGAAAAAGUCUAAAUAGUAUUUUUGUCCUCGUACUUUAAUAACAUUUCUUGAAAGUCACUCGAUCUCAAAAUUUAAUUAAGAAGAUAUUAUAGAUUUAUAAGCAAGCCCUUAAAAUUUAUUUGCAAGUAAGCCCAUAAGACUUACUAAAAGUCGUCAACUCGUCAUGACCAAAAUUGAAAAUUCUUCCGCGUGUGAAAUACGGCAUGCACAGACGUAUUAAAAACAAAGGCCAGCUAUGAUAUUCUUCGUAUAUUUGCAUUCCCUAUUAUCUUAUUAAUAAUUUCAGACACGUAGUUCGUUGCUUGUGAUUUUUCAUAUGCAAAAGCACAGUCAGUGUUACAAUUUACAAUUACAAUUGAGUGCCACCUAUAUACUCCUUCAUUCUUUUCAAAAUAUGUUGUAGGAUGGGUAAUCGUGACAAAAGUGAUUUUUAAAAAGAUUUGUUAUAAUAUUAAAAUUAACUUUUAAUUUUUUUUAAAUUACUUUUGAGCUUUGUGAAAAAAAUCCUAAACGGGUCUCAGAAGUAUAAUUAGAACCACGAAUUUAUAAAAUGAUCAAAGGAAUCCAUCGCCUAAUAUUAGAGUACGCAAUUGAUUGCUAUCAACUAAAUUGCUAUGAUCUCACUUCAUAAUAAUUUAUUUUCAAUCUCCAUCAUGGUAGAAAAUUUUCAUCAAUCAACAUACCCUACCACCACCCAAUAGUCGACCAUUUAUCAUCUUCUAUCCGCAAAAAAACGAAAAAAAGAAAGGAAAAAUUUAGUCCACAAAAGAAAAUAUCGCAAGACCAAACAAAGAGAGAAAAUAGAAAAAGCAAAGAGCUGUACUGAAUACCGCCAGUGAUGGCUCGGUACUUGACCAUUUAGGUUUGAUUCUGCAUUAACAUAAUAUUUUUUCUGCACUGCAUUCACAUCACAACCAUUGAAUAGUCGUGAUCUAUUUUUCUAAAGCGAAUACUACUAUCUUCUCGUGUCGGUGGCUUGAUCAUAUAACAAAAUAGACUAAUAAUGUUUCCUGCUGUACCGUACAUCCGCCUUGGCCGUACAGCAGAAAUACAUGAAAUAAAUUAACGAAAAAUAAAUUAAUAAGAUAAAAAAAAUUUCAUCACAUGUAAGUUGGAUUCCCAAAAUAUUACCCAUAGUUUGUAUGAGAUUCAGAGUACAAUAGAAGGAAUGCAACACAGUAUGUAUUCGGUUGUGGUGUCUAUGAUUUUACAGUCGCAGAAGCUUAUUCACCUUGUGAGAGCUGAUCAGGUGGGCACCAUCACUCUCCUUACGCUUUAUAGAGAGCGAUAGUCCAUGUGGUCAGAUCUCAUUCAGAUAACUAGCCAAGUGGGCAAUCGCUCCACCUUAUCAAAAUUCUUCAUCUAUAGUAAUAUCAUGAGUAGGC